CCCUUUUAAAUAUAAACAGUAAACACCCCUUUUUAGGCCUAGAGUCUUAGUGGCUUGUAACAAGCAGGAUGUUGGGCUUGUCAAAGGAUCUAAGGUUAUCCAGAGCCUGCUUGAGAAAGAAAUCUCUGCGCUUCGUGUCUCACAAUCCAACAGAUUGGAAGGACUGGAUGGUGAGUCUGUGGAUCAUAUUUAUCUGGGAAAGCCUGGAAAGGAUUUCAGUUUUUCAGGAAUGU